rnacentral:rRNA from 1 species
AGAGUUUGAUCAUGGCUCAGGAUGAACGCUAGCGGCAGGCCUAACACAUGCAAGUCGAGGGGUAGCAGGGUAGCAAUAUCGCUGACGACCGGCGCACGGGUGAGUAACGCGUAUGCAACCUUCCUUUAACUGGGGGAUAGCCCGGAGAAAUUCGGAUUAAUACCCCAUAACAUUGCGGAGAGGCAUCUUUCUGCAAUUAAAGCUCCGGCGGUUAAAGAUGGGCAUGCGUGCCAUUAGCUAGUUGGUGAGGUAACGGCUCACCAAGGCUACGAUGGCUAGGGGGUCUGAGAGGAUGAUCCCCCACACUGGUACUGAGACACGGACCAGACUCCUACGGGAGGCAGCAGUGAGGAAUAUUGGGCAAUGGGCGCAAGCCUGACCCAGCCAUGCCGCGUGAAGGAUGAAUGCCCUAUGGGUUGUAAACUUCUUUUGUACGGGACGAAACUUCCGGUCGUGACCGGGAUUGACUGUACCGUGCGAAUAAGCAUCGGCUAACUCCGUGCCAGCAGCCGCGGUAAUACGGAGGAUGCAAGCGUUAUCCGGAUUCAUUGGGUUUAAAGGGUGCGUAGGCGGAAUAAUAAGUCAGUGGUGAAAGCCUGCGGCUUAACCGUAGAAUUGCCAUUGAUACUGUUAUUCUUGAGUAUAGUUGAAGUGGGCGGAAUGUGUAAUGUAGCGGUGAAAUGCUUAGAUAUUACACAGAACACCAAUUGCGAAGGCAGCUCACUAAGCUGUUACUGACGCUGAGGCACGAAAGCGUGGGGAGCAAAC